rnacentral:rRNA from 1 species
AACGAACGCUGGCGGCAUGCCUAACACAUGCAAGUCGAACGAGACCUUCGGGUCUAGUGGCGCACGGGUGCGUAACGCGUGGGAACCUGCCUUUAGGUUCGGAAGAACUCAGAGAAAUUUGAGCUAAUACCGGAUGAUGUCUUCGGACCAAAGAUUUAUCGCCUUUAGAUGGGCCCGCGUUGCAUUAGCUAGUUGGUGGGGUAAAGGCCUACCAAGGCGAGGAUCCAUAGCUGGGAAGAGAGGAAGAUCAGCGACACUGGGACUGAGACACGGCCCAGACUCCUACGGGAGGGAGCAGUGGGGAAUAUUGGAAAAUGGGCGAAAGCAUGAUCCAGCAAUGACGGGUGAGUGAUGAAGGUCGUAGGGUUGUAAAGCUCUUUUAUCCGAGAUGAUAAUGACAGUACCGGGAGAAUAAGCACCGGCUAACUCCGUG